GUCAAGUUAGUUUAAAUAAAAAUAUCAGCCUGUGGAUUUGAAGAUAAAACUAUAUUUUACUUGACU
rnacentral:tRNA from 1 species